rnacentral:rRNA from 1 species
GUAACUGCUUUUAUAUGUGACGAAUAUGACGGUAGCAUAUGAAUAAGGAUCGGCUAACUCCGUGCCAGCAGCCGCGGUCAUACGGAGGAUCCAAGCGUUAUCCGGAAUUACUGGGCGUAAAGAGUUGCGUAGGUGGCAUGGUAAGUAGAUAGUGAAAGCGUGUGGCUCAACCAUACAUCCAUUAUCUAAACUGCCAAGCUAGAGUAUGAGAGAGGUAGAUGGAAUUCCCAGUGUAGGAGUGAAAUCCGUAGAUAUUGGGAGGAACACCGAUGGCGUAGGCAGUCUACUGGCUCAUUACUGACACUAAGGCACGAAAGCGUGGGGAGCAAACGGGAUUAGAUACCCCGGUAGUCCACGCCGUAAACUAUGGAUGCUAGCUGUUAGAAGUAUCGACCCUUCUAGUAGCGAAGCUAACGCGUUAAGCAUCCCGCCUGUGGAGUACGGUCGCAAGACUAAAACAUAAAGGAAUUGACGGGGACCCGCACAAGCGGUGGAGCGUGUUGUUUAAUUCGAUGGUAAGCGAAGAACCUUACCCAGGCUUGACAUCCUUGGAAGGCUUCCGAAAGGAAACUGUGCCCUCGGGAACCAAGUGACAGGUGAUGCAUGGCCGUCGUCAGCUA